AGUGAACGCUGGCGGUAGGCCUAACACAUGCAAGUCGAACGGCAGCACAGUAAGAGCUUGCUCUUACGGGUGGCGAGUGGCGGACGGGUGAGGAAUACAUCGGAAUCUACUUUUUCGUGGGGGAUAACGUAGGGAAACUUACGCUAAUACCGCAUACGACCUACGGGUGAAAGCAGGGGAUCUUCGGACCUUGCGCGAUUGAAUGAGCCGAUGUCGGAUUAGCUAGUUGGCGGGGUAAAGGCCCACCAAGGCGACGAUCCGUAGCUGGUCUGAGAGGAUGAUCAGCCACCCUGGAACUGAGACACGGUCCAGACUCCUGCGGCAGGCAGCAGUGGGGAAUAUUGGACAAUGGGCGCAAGCCUGAUCCAGCCAUACCGCGUGUGUGAAGAAGGCCUUCGGGUUGUAAAGCCCUUUUGUUGGGAAAGAAAAGCAGCAGGUUAAUACCCCGCUGUUCUGACGGUACCCAAAGAAUAAGCACCGGCUAACUUCGUG
rnacentral:rRNA from 1 species